UGGUGGGUCAGGUAUAAUAAGAUAAGUAGAAACCGGUUUAUUUGGCUCAGACUCCAUUUGUGAGCAGAACAGAAGGAGAACCAAAAAUCUAGACCAGGGUCGAGAUGUGUGAGGAGGAAAAACUUGCUGGCAUCCUGGAUGAUAUAGCUGAUCAUGAAUUUGAUAACUUCAAAUGGCACCUAAAGAGAGAGAUCUGGAAUGGCAUAGAUCCCAUCAAAACCUCCAAGCUGGAGAGGGCGGAGAGGCUCGACGUCGUGGACCUAAUGGUGCAGAAAUACCAGGUUGCUGGAGCUGUAACAGUUACAAGGAUUGUUAUGGAGAAGAUCAAAAGAAAUGACCUGGUGAAGAAGCUCAGUGAACCAAGUCCUGAAGCUCCAGUUGAAGAUUUUGCUGAUCGGUGUCAACAUGACCACAAAGAAUAUCUGAAGAAGACAUUGCAAUGUCUCCGUGAAGGCAUUGCAGAAGCCGGAAAAAAAACCUUUCUAAAUGAUAUCUACACAGAGCUCUACAUCUUGGAUGGAGGAAUUGGACAGGUUAAUAAUGAACAUGAAGUCAGACAGAUUGAAACAGCAACCAGCAAACCAGGCAAAACAAUACAACUAAAAGACAUCUUUAAACCCCAACCUGAAACAAACGAACCAAUUAAAACAGUGAUGACAAAGGGAGUAGCCGGCAUUGGGAAAACAGUCUUAACACAGAAGUUCACUCUGGACUGGGCUGCAGACCAAACCAGCCAGAACAUCCAGUUCAUAUUUCCAUUCACUUUCAGAGAACUGAACACAAUGAAAGAGAAAAGGUUCAGCUUGGUGGAACUAAUUCAUAAAUUCUUUAUUAAAUCCAGAGACGUCUGUUGCUUUGAGCAGUUCCAGGUUCUGUUUAUCUUUGAUGGUCUGGAUGAGAGUCGACUUCCUCUGGACUUCUACAACAAAGAGAUCCUGACUGAUGCUACAGAGCCCACCUCAGUGGAUGUUCUGCUGAUAAACCUCAUUAGGGGAAAACUGCUUCCCUCUGCUCUCCUCUGGAUAACCACACGACCUGCAGCAGCCAAUCAGAUCCCUCCUGAGUUUAUUGACAUGGUCAUAGAGGUCAAGGGGUUCACCGACUCACAGAAGGAGGAGUACUUCAGGAAGAAAUUCAGAGAUGAUGAGGAGAAGGCCAACAGGAUCAUAUCACACAUAACAGCAUCCCGAAGUCUUCACAUUAUGUGCCACAUCCCAGUCUUCUGCUGGAUCACUGCUGAUGUACUGGAGGAUGAGUUGAAGAACAAAGAGGGAGGAGAGCUACCCAUGACCCUUACUGAGAUGUACAUCAAGUUCUUGGUAGUUCAGAUCAAAAUCAAGAAGAAAAAGUAUGAUGGAGGAGCAGAACAAGAUCCAGACAUCAGUAAGAUGGUUCAGUCUCUGGGAAAACUGGCUUUGGACCAGCUGCUAAAUGGAAACCUCAUCUUCUAUAAAUCAGACCUCCAAGACUGUGGCGUAGAGAUCAAAGAUGUUUCUUUCUCAGGAGUGUUCACUGAGAUCUUUAAAGAGGAGACGGGGAUAGGCGAAACCUCUGUCUACUCCUUUGUUCAUCUGAGCCUCCAGGAGUUUCUGGCUGCAGUCUACAUGCUCCACAGUUUCACCACAAGGAAUACAGAGGCAAUGAUGAUGUUCUUGGAAGAAGAUGACCACUCAUCUUUGUACUACUUCUUCACGUUUUUCAUGAACCUGUCCAAGAAAACAGACCAUGGCUACUCACUGGAUGAGUUCCUGAAGAAAGUCAUGGAGAAAUCCCUCAGCAGUGAAAAUGGCCACCUGGACCUGUUUGUUCGCUUCCUUCAUGGCCUCUCUGUGGAGUCCAACCAAAGACUCUUAAGAGGCCUGAUGGGUCAGACAGAGAACAGUCCAGAAACAAUCCACAGAAUCACCGGCAAUCUGAAGAAGAUGAACACUGAUGAUAUCUCUCCUGAUAGAAGCAUCAACAUCUUUUACUGUUUGAUGGAGAUGAAUGACCUCUCAUUUUGUAAGGAGAUUCAACAGCUCCUGGAGUCAGGGAAGAAACUCUCAGAGGUCCAAUGCUCAGCUCUUGCCUACAUGCUGCAGAUGUCAGAGGAGGUUCUCGAUGAGUUGGACCCAGAGAAGUACAACACAACAGCAGGUGGACGACAGAGACUGGUUCCAGCUGUGACAAAUUGCAGGAAAGCUGUACUUGGUGGCUGUUGGCUCUCAGAGACUGAAUGUGAAGUUGUGGCCUCAGCUCUGCAGUCCAAACCCUGCCAUUUGACUGAACUGGAAAUAAGUCAGUUCUGCAAACUGAAAGACUCUGGAAUGAAGCAUCUGUGUGAGAUCCUGGAGACUUCAGUCAGCAUAGUGAAGAGUUUGAGGUUGGAGAGCUGUUGUUUGUCAGAGACCAGCUGGUCUUCUCUGUUCUCAGCGCUGAAGUCCAACCCCUCCCAUCUGACAGAACUGAACCUGAGUGGCAACCAAGACCUGAAAGAUUCUGGAGUGAAGGAGCUCUGUGGUUUCCUACAUACGCCCCUCUGCAAAAUACAAAAACUGAGAUUGCAAGACUGCGACUUGACAGAGGUCAGUUGUGCUUCUCUGGUCUCAGCUCUGAAGUCCAACCCCUCCCAUCUGACAGAACUGAACCUGAGCCUCAACUAUGGCCUGAAAGAUGCCGGAGUGAAGGAGCUUUGUGGUUUUCUUCAGACUCCUUUCUGCAAAAUACAGAUAUUGAGAUUGAGCAGCUGCAGUUUGUCAGAGAUCAGCUGUGCUUCUCUGGCCUCAGCUCUGAAGUCCAACCCGACCCAUCUGACAGAACUGAACCUAAACUACAACAAACAUCUCAAAGAUGCUGGAGUCCAAGAGCUCUGUGGUUUCCUACAGAGUCCUGACUGCAAAAUACAAAAACUCAGUUUGGUGAACUGCAAGCUGUCAGAGAUCAGUUGCGCUUCUCUGGCCUCGGCUCUGAAGUCCAACCCCUCCCAUCUGAAACGACUGGACUUGCUUUCGAACAAACUGAAGAGGUCAGAUGUUCAGCAGCUGAAGGAUCUCGUAAAGACCGUAAGGUCAGUAGAUGGUUGUGAGUGAGUCCGGCUACGGUAAGCAGUACUGAACUAAACCCAGUUCAAAGCAUCAAAGCAAACCUCUAGUGUUUCCAGUAAAGCUGGAGCUUCAGGAGAAUGGCAACAAGCUUCCUGAUUGGACACACGGGCAACGAGAUAGAAUCUUGUUGUGUUCCUGUUUCCAGAGAUUCAAGCUUGAUUCCAGCUGCCAGUUUUUCAGUACGUCUUGAGACAGUGCUCUUAAUUGUUCAACCUGUGGCAGCAUCUUAGAUCUGAUCUAAGACUGUUUGUUCUCUGAGUUCAAAAGAAAAGGAAAAAAACUGAUCAGCUUCAUCUUUGUCACUGCUCUGAGAUCAGUCUAACUGCAGCCGGGAAAUCACUGGCUCUUAUUUCACAGUCAUUACAUUUAGUCACCAGGUGGUCUUUCUGCUGAAGUCCACUCGUCACAGCAGGACAUUUGUCCUUCUGUCCUUAGUUUCAUCCAGAUGUGUUCAGGGACAGCCUCCAUGUUUAUUAGUCGGCUGAUGAGGUGUUCGCCAGCAGCAGAUAGUUUGUGUGUUUUGAAUGGAGCAGCAGGAAAUCCGUCACCAAAGUGUUUGUGAAGCAACGAAGGCUACGUGAACCUCAGCGGUUUAUUUCCUCUGUUUACUUGAAUGGAGCCUUCCGAGGAUACUAAGUGUGUGUGUGUGUGUGUGAGCCUGGAGUUCAUCGUGUUCACUCCAGCAUGAUAGGAUGAGAGCUGGAGGGCGUAGUGAGAGAGAGAAGCAUCGUUGUGUCCUGAUGACUCUCCUGACGACCUGCUUGAAGAUGGGGUUGAAAAGAGAUUCACAAUGAUGAACUUUGAGAUGAAAGAUUUUUUUUUGAUCCUGUUUAUUUUCUCAUGUCCGUUGUUAAAGUUUCAAAAAUAUAAGAAGACGUGGGUCGGCUGAUUCCCUCUCCAUACGUUUUAGGACUGAAAAACUGGGAAAAGGCCAUGUUCUAACAUUCAGAUCUUAGUUAUAUAUUUACUUAGUUAUAUGCCUUAGUUAUCAAACAAGAUAAACAUAGUGUGUUAGUGCCAUAGUUGUUGCUUGCUUUAUUGCUGACACCAUAAUCCAUGGUUUUAUCUAAGUGGUGGGUGUCUUAAAUAGAUACUUCAUUGAUGCAUCUUAUUAUAAAUGUACAUUGUUCUGAACAAUAUGCAGUUGGGGAAACUUUCUGCUUGUUGUUGUAUUGGGUCAGGUAGAUAAGCUCAGCAGAUAUGUCCUGCAGUCUCACCCAGCUGGUCGUAUUUAUCUAAACCACUGAGUCACAGCUGAUAUUCCACAUGUUCUUUUUUUUCCCCCUACCCUUCUAUGGACAUUUUUCUACCUUAACAUUGUCAUUCAGUGUCUGAUAUUUAGUGAUGUGUUUUCUGUGCCGAAGCUUCGGAGCGUGUAUCGAGACUUGUGUUGCAGGAGCUGGCGGUGAAGUUUGAAGCGUCGUAUUCGGGGCGUACCAUGCGACCUACUCAAGAAUUGCUUCACCAGUUUGCUUGUGCAUAAAAAAAAAGAAAAAAAGGCAAAAUGCUGCUUUUUCACCCGUCACAUUUUCUUAUUUUAGGAUUUUUAUUGUGUGUGCGUUUGCAAUUAAUUUGAGCGCCUUUUUUGCCAUGCACCCCUGGGGCUGAAGUAAUUCCUUGAAUGACUCGAGUUCCUCGAUUAGAAAAAUUCCUCGAGGUAAAAUGUAUCUGCCUCGAAGCUUUGUUAAAGUAUGUUUUAUUAUGUAGCGCCCCGUGUUCCGGCCGGGUCGUUAUUUGUGUCGGGCAGCGCUCUCACUUCUGCCUAUGAGUUGUUGCUAAGUGCUAGCAGCAUGACGUCAGAUUUCUGGGUUUUUAUCGUUUUCUGUGGGACCAAUAAGCAUUUUUAAAAAUUGACUGGCACCUUUCUCCACCCGUAACUCCAUGUUUUGAGAGAGAGGGAUUUUUCCACAGUAUUCUGUUAAUAACAAUAAUCGCUAGAGUACUCAAUUACUAAAAUAUUCCAGUCCUCGGACCCUCUCCUAAGGUUCACACAUAGUAAUAAUAAAUCAUUACUUGUCAAAAAAAAAAAACAACAACACUGAGGAUCCUGUAUUCUAAUUUCCUUCUUAUUUCUGAUGAUUUCAAAUGUGAAGGUGUCGUGGACAAAUGAGCUGUAAUGUGUUUUUGACUACUGACAGAGCGCUUCAUCUGCGCCCUGUGAGCCUGAGCACAGUAAAGGUUUUUGUUUUAAAGUUAUAAAUAAAUAAAUAAAUAAAUAAGCUCCCAAAGUUUGCAACAAGCUUGGGAGUUACAAUCCUUUCCUCCAUUGUUUUAUAUAAACAGAUUAAGUCUAUAAUCAUAGUUUAGGUAUUAGUAUCACAAAUAUGAUUUACUUCUUUAUUCAUGUAAGGCUUCACGCAUCACGUUGUUGCCUGUUUUGCAUGUAUUGUUCACUUGAUGUUGCGGUGGAGCGAAUGAGCGUCGGCUCAUGAGUCCAACAGUUGGAUGAAACGCCUCAGUGCUUCACGAAGCUUCAUCUCGCCAUGACUGCUGACAUUGUGUUUCUUUGGAUCAAUGAAGAUUCAAUUCAAAAUCAGCUCCACUUAGUGGCUUCAUGAGUUUUGAUCUGAACUUGAUUCGACUGGAAAGUUUCUCUCCGAUUGAUUUUCAGCCCGCAACUGAAACAUGUGAAAUAAAACUCGAUUCAAUGGUU